ACUAUUUAUAAUGGCGGCAUUUCAUCUUAUUAGAGGAACCUGUUCUAUCAUCGACAAUCCACGUUAAUUUUCACUUAUAUUAAAAAUUUAUAUACUACCAUCUAAAGAAUUAAUUUCAUUAUAAUAUUCUUAAUAAAAAAUAAAAAGUUAGGUCAAGGUGUAAUCCACAUUUAAGUAAGAAAUGGGUUACCAUUAAAAAAAUUUUAGGAUUAAUCAAUAAAAUUUUUUUACGAAAAAGGAUUUAAAAGUAAUAUGAUAAUAAUAUUUUAAUAUGAAUUAGAUAAUAAAUGUGCACACAUCGCCG
rnacentral:rRNA from 1 species